GACAGAGGUGCCGAGCGUUAGGCGGAAUCACUGGGCUUAAGGCGUGUGUAGGCGGAUCGUUAAGUACCUUGUGAAAUCCCACGGCUCAACCGUGGAACUGCUGGGUAUACUGGCGGUCUUGAGCCACCUAGGGGCGAGCGGAACAAGCGGUGGAGCGGUGAAAUGCGUAGAUAUCGCUUGGAACGCCGACGGUGAAAACAGCUCGCUGGGGGUGUGCUGACGCUGAGACACGAAAGCCAGGGGAGCGAACGGG
rnacentral:rRNA from 1 species